rnacentral:rRNA from 1 species
GAUGAACGCUGGCGGCGUGCCUAAUACAUGCAAGUCGAGCGAACAGACGAGGAGCUUGCUCCUCUGACGUUAGCGGCGGACGGGUGGGUAACACGUGGAUAACCUACCUAUAAGACUGGGAUAACUUCGGGAAACCGGAGCUAAUACCGGAUAAUAUAUUGAACCGCAUGGUUCAAUAGUGAAAGACGGUUUUGCUGUCACUUAUAGAUGGAUCCGCGCCGCAUUAGCUAGUUGGUAAGGUAACGGCUUACCAAGGCAACGAUGCGUAGCCGACCUGAGAGGGUGAUCGGCCACACUGGAACUGAGACACGGUCCAGACUCCUACGGGAGGCAGCAGUAGGGAAUCUUCCGCAAUGGGCGAAAGCCUGACGGAGCUACGCCGCGUGAGUGAUGAAGGUCUUCGGAUCGUAAAACUCUGUUAUUAGGGAAGAACAAAUGUGUAAGUAACUAUGCACGUCUUGACGGUACCUAAUCAGAAAGCCACGGCUAACUACGUG